GACGAACGCUGGCGGCGUGCUUAACACAUGCAAGUCGAACGGUGAAAGCGGAGCUUGCUCCGCUGGAUCAGUGGCGAACGGGUGAGUAACACGUGGGCAACCUGCCCCUCACUUCGGGAUAACUCCGGGAAACCGGGGCUAAUACCGGAUAUGACAUCCUUGGGCAUCCUUGGAGGUGGAAAGUUUUUCGGUGAGGGAUGGGCACGCGGCCUAUCAGCUUGUUGGUGAGGUAGUGGCUCACCAAGGCGACGACGGGUAGCCGGCCUGAGAGGGCGACCGGCCACACUGGGACUGAGACACGGCCCAGACUCCUACGGGAGGCAGCAGUGGGGAAUAUUGCGCAAUGGGCGAAAGCCUGACGCAGCAACGCCGCGUGCGGGAUGACGGCCUUCGGGUUGUAAACCGCUUUCAGCAGGGAAGAAGCCGCAAGGUGACGGUACCUGCAGAAGAAGCACCGGCUAACUACGUGCCAGCCGCCGCGGUAA
rnacentral:rRNA from 1 species